UACGUAGGGGGCAAGCGUUGUCCGGAUUUAUUGGGCGUAAAGAGCGUGUAGGCGGCUUGGAAGGUCAGCUGUGAAAACUCGAGGCUCAACCUCGAGACGUCGGUUGAAACCACCUGGCUAGAGUCCGGAAGAGGAGAGUGGAAUUCCCGGUGUAGCGGUGAAAUGCGCAGAUAUCGGGAAGAACACCCGUGGCGAAGGCGGCUCUCUGGGCCGAUACUGACGCUGAGGAGCGAAAAGCGUGGGGAGCGAACAGG
rnacentral:rRNA from 1 species